rnacentral:rRNA from 2 species
UGGAUUGGUGCCUUCGGGAACUCUGAGACAGGUGCUGCAUGGCUGUCGUCAGCUCGUGUUGUGAAAUGUUGGGUUAGUCCGCAACGAGCGCAACCCUUAUCCUUUGUUGCCAGCGGUCCGGCCGGGAACUCAAAGGGACUGCCAGUGAUAAACUGGGGAGGAAGGGGGGAUGACGUCAAGUCAUCAUGGCCCUUACGAGUAGGGCUACACACGUGCUACAAUGGCGCAUACAAAGAGAAGCGACCUCGCGAGAGCAAGCGGACCUCAUAAAGUGCGUCGUAGUCCGGAUUGGAGUCUGCAACUCGACUCCAUGAAGUCGGAAUCGCUAGUAAUCGUAGAUCAGAAUGCUACGGUGAAUACGUUCCCGGGCCUUGUACACACCGCCCGUCACACCAUGGGAGUGGGUUGCAAAGAAGUAGGUAGCUUAACCUUCGGGAGGGCGCUUACCACUUGUAUUCAUGACUGGGGUGAAGUCGUAACAAGGUAACCGUAGGGGAACCUGCGGUUGGAUCACCUCCUUACCUUAAAGAA